rnacentral:rRNA from 1 species
CUUGGUCAUUUAGAGGAAGUAAAAGUCGUAACAAGGUUUCCUUCACCUAUUGAAGCCUUCAGCAGCGACUGUAAAGAAAUGCGUAGUUUGCUUGCAAGCAAUGCCACUCAAAUGCUGAGACACAUGAAUCAGCAGCCUUUUAGGCUCACAGAUCAAAUUGUGGUAACCAUUCUUAUGGGUAAGAUAUGACCGGUCUUAACUAGAGUUAGUUAAGAAUCCACGUUCCGUAGGUGAACCUGCGGAAGGAUCAUUAAAGGUUUCGGGUACCCAGUGCCCAAACUUCAACCCUAUGUUUUAACUAUACAUGUUUCCUUGCCGGUUUCGGCCGGCAGAAGUUUUCUCAAACUCCACUAUAAAUGUGUCUUCUGAAUCAAAACUAAAUAAAUUAAAACUUUCAACAACGGAUCUCUUGGUUCUGGCAUCGAUGAAGAACGCAGCGAAAUGCGAUAAGUAAUGUGAAUUGCAGAAUUCAGUGAAUCAUCGAAUCUUUGAACGCAUAUUGCGCCCUUUGGCAUUCCGAAGGGCAUACCUGUUCGAGCGUCAUUACACCCCUCAAAGAUGACUCUUUGGCGUUGGGCAAUGCCUAAAGGCAUGCCUCAAAAUCAGUGAUGGUGAUAUUCAACCACAGGCGCACACACGUCGUCUAGCUGGCGGGAUGUUGACAGUCAAUUGAUGAAUUUCUAAAUGUUGACCUCGGAUCAGGUAGGAAUACCCGCUGAACUUAAGCAUAUCAAUAAGCGGAGGAAAAGAAACCAACAGGGAUUGCCUCAGUAACGGCGAGUGAAGCGGCAAAAGCUCAAAUUUGAAAUCUGACCCUUCGGGUCCGAGUUGUAAUUUGCAGAGGAUGUUUCGGGUAAGAUUUAGGUCUAAGUUCCUUGGAACAGGACGUCAUAGAGGGUGAGAAUCCCGUACGUGACCGUUGAUCGCACCCAUGUGAAACUCCUUCGACGAGUCGAGUUGUUUGGGAAUGCAGCUCAAAAUGGGUGGUAAAUUUCAUCUAAAGCUAAAUAUUGGCCAGAGACCGAUAGCGCACAAGUAGAGUGAUCGAAAGAUGAAAAGCACUUUGAAAAGAGAGUUAAACAGUAUGUGAAAUUGUUGAAAGGGAAGCGCUUGCAACCAGACUUGUUUAUAGGAUUCAGCCGUCGUUUUCGUCGGUGUAUUUUCCUAUUAUCAGGCCAGCAUCAGUUUAGGUGGAAGGUCAAAGGCCCUGGGAAUGUAUCAUCCUUCGGGAUGUCUUAUAGCCCUCGGUGUAAUGCUUCCCUCCCGGACUGAGGAACGCGCUUUUGCUCGGAUGCUGGCGUAAUGGUUGUAAGCGACCCGUCUUGAAACACGGACC